UCUCAGCCUUUGGGUUGAUGCCUAGGAUGU
rnacentral:piRNA from 1 species